CACUGCCCACAACUCACCUGGGAAGCCAAUGCCGGAUACGUUAGGUUUGUUGUUGCUUGGCGGCAUUUCACUUCUGGAAUCAAUCUGUAUUAGCUAAGGUAAUGCUCGGUAUUAUAGGAGAUAAUUCCCCAAAUCGCAGGGGCUUAACAAAAUAAAAAUUUAUUACUCUCAGAUGCAAGAAUUCAAUGCAGGUGUAGAGUGGGCAGCAUUCCAAGGUGGGUGAUUGAAAGAUUCAGGUCCUUUACAUUUUAUAGCUCCACUAUCACUCAGAGCCUUGGGAUCUACUCAGAGGGCGGACAAGGCACACCUGCUCCUUAAUCACUUCAGCCUUUUCUGAUACCCUUUGUAGAGCUGCUUAAACGGCCCCACCUGGGUGCAGAUACCCUUUGUAGAGCUGCUUAAACGGCCCCACCUGGGUGCAGAUACCCUUUGUAGAGCUGCUUAAACGGCCCCACCUGGGUGCAAGGCUGGGCUCCAGUGCUGGGAAAUGUAAAUUCUGCCUGGAAACCCACUUUCCAGCAACAGCGCUACCCUUUGGAAAGGGAUUGUGCCUGUCUCUGGACCAAUCAACAGUGCCAGGAGGAAGAGAUUAUAGGAAACGUCCUCUGAUUCUCAGCCUCACUCCACCGUAUCCUGCGAGUCAGUGAUUUUCUUGGCGAUUAGUCCGUACAAGAUAUUUGCAUGAUACUUAUGCUGCACUUUCCAUCCAAACUGGAAACAAACCAGCUUCGUAAAAAAUGUCUACUUGUCUCACUGGAAACAAACAAAAAAAAAGCAAUGAUUAAGUACUAGAAUUGCAUCCAGACAUAACCAAAGCUGGUUUAGCUCUUAUUUAAUACACUUGGCUUCUCCUAAAGCAAUAGGGCCAUUCUUUUCCCUUCCAUUCUGCUAUCUGUCU
rnacentral:lncRNA from 10 species